GAGUUAUCUGAACCUUCGGGGAACGAUAACGGCGUCGAGCGGCGGACGGGUGAGUAAUGCCUAGGAAAUUGCCCUGAUGUGGGGGAUAACCAUUGGAAACGAUGGCUAAUACCGCAUGAUGCCUACGGGCCAAAGAGGGGGACCUUCGGGCCUCUCGCGUCAGGAUAUGCCUAGGUGGGAUUAGCUAGUUGGUGAGGUAAGGGCUCACCAAGGCAACGAUCCCUAGCUGGUCUGAGAGGAUGAUCAGCCACACUGGAACUGAGACACGGUCCAGACUCCUACGGGAGGCAGCAGUGGGGAAUAUUGCACAAUGGGCGCAAGCCUGAUGCAGCCAUGCCGCGUGUAUGAAGAAGGCCUUCGGGUUGUAAAGUACUUUCAGUCGUGAGGAAGGCGUUGUCGUUAAUAGCGGCAUCGUUUGACGUUAGCGACAGAAGAAGCACCGGCUAACUCCGUGCCAGCAGCCGCGGUAAUACGGAGGGUGCGAGCGUUAAUCGGAAUUACUGGGCGUAAAGCGCAUGCAGGUGGUUUGUUAAGUCAGAUGUGAAAGCCCGGGGCUCAACCUCGGAAUAGCAUUUGAAACUGGCAGACUAGAGUACUGUAGAGGGGGGUAGAAUUUCAGGUGUAGCGGUGAAAUGCGUAGAGAUCUGAAGGAAUACCGGUGGCGAAGGCGGCCCCCUGGACAGAUA
rnacentral:rRNA from 1 species